rfam:Gossypium arboreum cultivar AKA8401 contig_1548_7, whole genome shotgun sequence.
UGUUAAAAUUUGUAUAUAUUUAUACAGUUAAAAACUGGUGUGGUUGUUGGAAUAACUAAAUAAUAACAUGUGACGUGUCACGUGUAUCUUAUGCUAAUGUACAUGGAUCACAGUAGAAAUGGAUAAAAUUUUUAACA